rnacentral:rRNA from 1 species
CCUACGGGGGGCUGCAGUGGGGAAUAUUGGACAAUGGGGGCAACCCUGAUCCAGCCAUGCCGCGUGUGUGAAGAAGGCCCUCGGGUUGUAAAGCACUUUCAGUGAGGAAGAACGCCUGGUGGUUAAUACCCAUCAGGAAAGACAUCACUCACAGAAGAAGCACCGGCUAACUCCGUGCCAGCAGCCGCGGUAAUACGGAGGGUGCGAGCGUUAAUCGGAAUUACUGGGCGUAAAGCGCGCGUAGGUGGCUUGAUAAGCCGGUUGUGAAAGCCCCGGGCUCAACCUGGGAACGGCAUCCGGAACUGUCAAGCUAGAGUGCAGGAGAGGAAGGUAGAAUUCCCGGUGUAGCGGUGAAAUGCGUAGAGAUCGGGAGGAAUACCAGUGGCGAAGGUGGCCUUCUGGACUGACACUGACACUGAGGUGCGAAAGCGUGGGUAGCAAACAGGAUUAGAUACCCGUGUAGUC